UACGAAGGGGGCUAGCGUUGCUCGGAAUUACUGGGCGUAAAGGGCGCGUAGGCGGCUUUAUGAGUGUGAUGUGAAAGCCUUGGGCUUAACCUAGGAAGUGCAUCGCAAACUGUAGAGCUAGAGUAUAUGAGAGGGUGGCGGAAUUUCCGGUGUAGCGGUGAAAUGCGUAGAUAUCGGGAGGAACACCAGUGGCGAAGGCGGCUACCUGGCCCACUCUUGACGCUGAGGCGCGAAAGCUAGGGGAGCAAACGGG
rnacentral:rRNA from 1 species